AUUUGUGAAUACCUUUUUCCUUUGAAACUAAAAUGGCUUACUUUAAGAAGCUUAUCUUAAACAUGGUUAUCAUAUUUCUGCUACUCUUAUCAUUGAAUCUGACAGCAGCAAGGGUGCCCUUUUGGAUGUCCCAACACAAACCAUAUGGACGGCUCCUUGAGAAAGCAGAUGAUCCACAAGGCCAUAAUUAUUAUCUUUAUACGCCUCCUCCUCAGAGAAGAUGAUCCACAACACCAUAAUUAUUAUGCUCAUCAUCCAUGGUUUGAAGGAAAACUUGCAAUGCAGAAGCAUAUAGAUAUAACUGCUUAUAUAUGUAUUGUAAAUAAUUGAUUUAUAACAAAUAACUUUUAUAUAUAUAUAUCUGUAUUACUUGAUUAA